rnacentral:rRNA from 1 species
ACGAACGCUGGCGGCGUGCUUAACACAUGCAAGUCGAACGCUGAAGCUCAGCUUGCUGGGUGGAUGAGUGGCGAACGGGUGAGUAACACGUGGGUAAUCUGCCCUGUACUCUGGGAUAAGCCUGGGAAACUGGGUCUAAUACCGGAUAGGACACAGUCUCGCAUGGGGUUGUGUGGAAAGUUCCGGCGGUACAGGUUGAGCCCGCGGCCUAUCAGCUUGUUGGUGGGGUGAUGGCCUACCAUGGCGACGACGGGUAGCCGGCCUGAGAGGGCGACCGGCCACACUGGGACUGAGACACGGCCCAGACUCCUACGGGAGGCAGCAGUGGGGAAUAUUGCACAAUGGGGGAAACCCUGAUGCAGCGACGCAGCGUGCGGGAUGACGGCCUUCGGGUUGUAAACCGCUUUCAGCAGGGAAGAAGCGGAAGUGACGGUACCUGCAGAAGAAGUACCGGCUAACUACGUGCCAGCGGCCGCGGUAAUACGUAGGGUACGAGCGUUGUCCGGAAUUAUUGGGCGUAAAGAGCUCGUAGGUGGUUGGUCACGUCUGCUGUGGAAACGCAACGCUUAACGUUGCGCGUGCAGCGGGUACGGGCUGACUAGAGUGCAGUAGGGGAGUCUGGAAUUCCUGGUGUAGCGGUGAAAUGCGCAGAUAUCAGGAGGAACACCGGUGGCGAAGGCGGGACUCUGGGCUGUGACUGACACUGAGGAGCGAAAGCAUGGGGAGCGAACAGGAUUAGAUACCCUGGUAGUCCAUGCCGUAAACGUUGGGCACUAGGUGUGGGGGGCAUUCCACGUUCUCCGCGCCGUAGCUAACGCAUUAAGUGCCCCGCCUGGGGAGUACGGUCGCAAGGCUAAAACUCAAAGGAAUUGACGGGGGCCCGCACAAGCGGCGGAGCAUGCGGAUUAAUUCGAUGCAACGCGAAGAACCUUACCAAGGCUUGACAUACACUGGAUCGUUCUGGAAACAGUUCUUCUCUUUUAGGGCUGGUGUACAGGUGGUGCAUGGUUGUCGUCAGCUCGUGUCGUGAGAUGUUGGGUUAAGUCCCGCAACGAGCGCAACCCUCGUUCUAUGUUGCCAGCACGUGAUGGUGGGAACUCAUAGGAGACUGCCGGGGUCAACUCGGAGGAAGGUGGGGAUGACGUCAAAUCAUCAUGCCCUUUAUGUCUUGGGCUUCACGCAUGCUACAAUGGCCGGUACAGAGAGAGGCGAACCCGUGAGGGCAAGCGAAUCUCUUAAAGCCGGUCUCAGUUCGGAUCGUAGUCUGCAAUUCGACUACGUGAAGUCGGAGUCGCUAGUAAUCGCAGAUCAGCAACGCUGCGGUGAAUACGUUCCCGGGCCUUGCACUCACCGCC